rnacentral:lncRNA from 1 species
GAGCAUAUCGAAAUUCUUUCUUGGACGUAUAAGAGUUGUUGGGUCAUAAAUGGGUUGCUUCUACUUCUCCUGCCGUUUAUGUUGAAAAGUAAGCCUACAACGGGGUCUUCUUCUCGUGUAAGGGUCAGAUUUGGCAAAUUCACAAAUUCUGCUUCACAAGAAAAACAAACUCGACUCAAAAUAAGAGAAUAGGUGAUCAACUUUAUUAUUUUCA